GAGUUUGAUCCUGGCUCAGGACGAACGCUGGCGGCGUGCUUAACACAUGCAAGUCGAACGAGAAUCUGAGGAAAGAGGAUUCGUCCAAUUGAAGCAGAGGACAGUGGCGGACGGGUGAGUAACGCGUGAGGAACCUGCCUUUCAGAGGGGGACAACAGUUGGAAACGACUGCUAAUACCGCAUAACGCAUAGAAGUCGCAUGGCUUUUAUGCCAAAGAUUUAUCGCUGAAAGAUGGCCUCGCGUCUGAUUAGCUAGUUGGUGAGGUAACGGCCCACCAAGGCGACGAUCAGUAGCCGGACUGAGAGGUUGAACGGCCACAUUGGGACUGAGAUACGGCCCAGACUCCUACGGGAGGCAGCAGUGGGGAAUAUUGGGCAAUGGGCGCAAGCCUGACCCAGCAACGCCGCGUGAAGGAAGAAGGCUUUCGGGUUGUAAACUUCUUUUGUCAGGGACGAGAAGAAGACGGUACCUGACGAAUAAGCCACGGCUAACUACGUGCCAGCAGCCGCGGUAAUACGUAGGUGGCAAGCGUUGUCCGGAUUUACUGGGUGUAAAGGGCGUGUAGCCGGGUCGGCAAGUCAGAUGUGAAAUCCACGGGCUUAACUCGUGAACUGCAUUUGAAACUGUUGAUCUUGAGUAUCGGAGAGGCAAUCGGAAUUCCUAGUGUAGCGGUGAAAUGCGUAGA
rnacentral:rRNA from 1 species